GACGAACGCUGGCGGCGUGCUUAACACAUGCAAGUCGAACGGAAAGGCCCUGCGUUUGUGGGGUGCUCGAGUGGCGAACGGGUGAGUAACACGUGAGUAACCUGCCCUUGACUUUGGGAUAACUUCAGGAAACUGGGGCUAAUACCGGAUAGGAGCUCCUGCUGCAUGGUGGGGGUUGGAAAGUUUCGGCGGUUGGGGAUGGACUCGCGGCUUAUCAGCUUGUUGGUGGGGUAGUGGCUUACCAAGGCUUUGACGGGUAGCCGGCCCGAGAGGGUGAACGGCCACAUUGGGCCUGAGAUACGGCCCAGACGCCUACGGGAGGCAGCAGUGGGGAAUAUUGCACAAUGGGCGGAAGCCUGAUGCAGCAACGCCGCGUGCGGGAUGACGGCCUUCGGGUUGUAAACCGCUUUCGCCUGUGACGAAGCGUGAGUGACGGUAAUGGGUAAAGAAGCACCGGCUAACUACGUG
rnacentral:rRNA from 1 species